rnacentral:rRNA from 1 species
UACGUAGGGGACCAAGCGUUGUUUCGGAUUUACUGGGCGUAAAGGGCGCGUAGGCGGCAAUUCAAGUCAUCUGUGAAAUCUCCGGGCUUAACCCGGAACGGUCAGGUGAUACUGUUUUGCUAGAGUGCGGAAGGGGCAAUCGGAAUUCUCGGUGUAGCGGUGAAAUGCGUAGAUAUCGAGAGGAACACCAGAGGUGAAGACGGGUUGCUGGGCCGACACUGACGCUGACAGCGCGAAAGCCAGGGGAGCAAACGGG